rnacentral:rRNA from 1 species
GUUGUGGUAAAAAGCUCGUAGUUGGAUCUCGGCGGUCUGAGGGCGGUUCGCUUGAUUGAGUGCUACUGCUCUAUAGGCCGUGGUUUUGCCAGAGGUCUCGGGGUGCUCUUAACCGAGUGUCCUGCGAUGCUGGCAGGUUUACUUUGAAAAAAUUAGAGUGCUCAAAGCAGGCUUUUACGCCUGAAUAUUCGUGCAUGGAAUAAUAGAAUAGGAAGUCGUUUCUAUUUUGUUGGUUUUCGGAAAUCGACUUAAUGAUUAAUAGGGACAGUCGGGGGCAUUUGUAUUCAAACGACAGAGGUGAAAUUCUUGGACCGUUUGAA